GAUGAACGCUGGCGGCGUGCCUAAUACAUGCAAGUCGAGCGAACGGACGAGAAGCUUGCUUCUCUGAUGUUAGCGGCGGACGGGUGAGUAACACGUGGAUAACCUACCUAUAAGACUGGGAUAACUUCGGGAAACCGGAGCUAAUACCGGAUGAUAUUUUGAACCGCAUGGUUCAAAAGUGAAAGACGGUCUUGCUGUCACUUAUAGAUGGAUCCGCGCUGCAUUAGCUAGUUGGUAAGGUAACGGCUUACCAAGGCAACGAUGCAUAGCCGACCUGAGAGGGUGAUCGGCCACACUGGAACUGAGACACGGUCCAGACUCCUACGGGAGGCAGCAGUAGGGAAUCUUCCGCAAUGGGCGAAAGCCUGACGGAGCAACGCCGCGUGAGUGAUGAAGGUCUUCGGAUCGUAAAACUCUGUUAUUAGGGAAGAACAUAUGUGUAAGUAACUGUGCACAUCUUGACGGUACCUAAUCAGAAAGCCACGGCUAACUACGUGCCAGCAGCCGCGGUAAUACGUAGGUGGCAAGCGUUAUCCGGAAUUAUUGGGCGUAAAGCGCGCGUAGGCGGUUUUUUAAGUCUGAUGUGAAAGCCCACGGCUCAACCGUGGAGGGUCAUUGGAAACUGGAAAACUUGAGUGCAGAAGAGGAAAGUGGAAUUUCAUGUGUAGCGGUGAAAUGCGCAGAGAUAUGGAGGAACACCAGUGGCGAAGGCGACUUUCUGGUCUGUAACUGACGCUGAUGUGCGAAAGCGUGGGGAUCAAACAGGAUUAGAUACCCUGGUAGUCCACGCCGUAAACGAUGAGUGCUAAGUGUUAGGGGGUUUCCGCCCCUUAGUGCUGCAGCUAACGCAUUAAGCACUCCGCCUGGGGAGUACGACCGCAAGGUUGAAACUCAAAGGAAUUGACGGGGACCCGCACAAGCGGUGGAGCAUGUGGUUUAAUUCGAAGCAACGCGAAGAACCUUACCAAAUCUUGACAUCCUUUGACAACUCUAGAGAUAGAGCCUUCCCCUUCGGGGGACAAAGUGACAGGUGGUGCAUGGUUGUCGUCAGCUCGUGUCGUGAGAUGUUGGGUUAAGUCCCGCAACGAGCGCAACCCUUAAGCUUAGUUGCCAUCAUUAAGUUGGGCACUCUAAGUUGACUGCCGGUGACAAACCGGAGGAAGGUGGGGAUGACGUCAAAUCAUCAUGCCCCUUAUGAUUUGGGCUACACACGUGCUACAAUGGACAAUACAAAGGGCAGCGAAACCGUGAGGUCAAGCAAAUCCCAUAAAGUUGUUCUCAGUUCGGAUUGUAGUCUGCAAUUCGACUACAUGAAGCUGGAAUCGCUAGUAAUCGUAGAUCAGCAUGCUACGGUGAAUACGUUCCCGGG
rnacentral:rRNA from 1 species